rnacentral:lncRNA from 1 species
GAAUCUAGUGGGACAUAUUCUCUAUGAAUUACUCAAUAAAAAAAUUGUAAAUUUCUGAAUCACGUGGAAAUAUAUAUAUAAAAUGUUUUAUACAUUUUAUUUACAUAUAAAAUAAGAUGGGUACAAGAAGAGUGACAUGAAAUUAUGAAUUCAUAAUAAAAUAAUAUAUGUAUAAUACCAAACAUCAAUAUCAUUGUCAAGGCACA